rnacentral:rRNA from 1 species
GGACCCGCACAAGUAGUGGAGCAUGUGGUUUAAUUCGAAGAUACGCGCAGAACCUUACCAACACUUGACAUGUUCGUCGCGAACUCUAAGAGAUUAGAGUUUUCGGUUCGGCCGGACGAAACACAGGUGCUGCAUGGCUGUCGUCAGCUCGUGUCGUGAGAUGUUGGGUUAAGUCCCGCAACGAGCGCAACCCUCACUUUAGUUGCCAAUUUAUUGGUUUUUUAGAAAGACUGCCGGUGACAAACCGGAGGAAGGUGAGGAUGACGUCAAGUCAGCAUGCUCCUUAUGUCCUGGGCCUACACACGUGCUACAAUGAUGAGGACAAAGAGUCGCCAAUCUGCGAAGACGAGCUAAUCUCGUAAACCUCAUCCAAGUUCGGAUUGUAGGCUGCAACUCGCCUGCAUG